rnacentral:rRNA from 1 species
UACAGAGGGGGCAAGCGUUGUUCGGAAUUACUGGGCGUAAAGGGCGCGUAGGUGGCCUUCUAAGUUGAACGUGAAAUCCCUGGGCUCAACCCAGGAACUGCGUCCAAGACUGGGAGGCUUGAAUCCGGGAGAGGGAUGCGGAAUUCCAGGUGUAGCGGUGAAAUGCGUAGAGAUGUGGAGGAAUACCGAUGGCGAAGGCAGCCCCCUGGAUACACUGACGCUCAUGCACGAAAGCUAGGGGAGCAAACGGG